GUCAUUUUGGAGGGAAGCAACAAAAGAAGCACCAGUUAACCUGUUGACCCAGCGGUGAUAUGAAGAAGUCUGCAUAACCAGUGGAUCUGAUGGUAUGAUCUGACGGGGGGCUGUCAGUGCUGAGUGAACCCCUCGAGCCCAGAUCAGGACAGGAGCACUUUUGAGGAAGGACAGAGACAGGGAUGCUCAUGGAUGGAAGGGAACUGCGUCACAAUAUGGGGAAAAAAUGGUUGCAGGUUCUGGUUCAUGUGGACUUUUUAAAGG